GUGCAUUGUGGAAUGUUCAGCAGGAUGCUCUCUGGCCUCAGAGACUCACUAGAUUCCCAUAGAACUCUCCUCUCUCCUCUAGUUGUGACAACCACAGUUGCCUCCUCUCCAGACAUUGCUAGAUGUCCCCGGGAGGCAAAAUUGUCCUGGUUGAGAACCACUGUGUUAGAACUCGGUCACAUGGCCAUACCUAACUGCAAGGGAGGGGGCUGGAAGAUCUAGACGAGUAGUAUGCCAGGAAGAAAAUAGAACUGAUUUAGAGGCUGCUGGCCAGUCACUUUCAGUGACCUUCAGCAUACUUAUUCCUCUGCAGCUGUCAGGACACUCAUGCCUGUUUCUGAGAUGUUUCCUGUGUGAGGGGACAUAGUGACUAUUGGAGGGGUGACAUGUUGGACUUGGGUAGGGUGAAGAGGAUUGGAAACCACCAUCAUGUUUGGCAGCAUUGAAUGUUUAUGACUAUUUGAAUAGUUGUGACAAGGGUACAGUGAAGGAGGAAGUAACCAUUUUUGAAUACCCUUUUACAAUUUGCAAAGCACUUUUAAAGGUAAGAGUGAGUUCCUAGACCAUAUUAGGGUGAGAAUGGACAUUGUUGGCUGCCAUAUCAUUGGGCAGGGGCUUUGAGAUUUUUGUCUUCAGAAGGCAGAUUAGAUUUGGAGUAGAAGGAGAAAUGUAAAGACCUGGUAUCUGAGUGUGUUUGCAGAGGGGAAUUGUCGUUUGGAAGCACAAGAAAGGGAAUGGCCCGUUGGCACAUAUGGUACAUUGUGUUUUCAUAUAAUUAUACCUGAAUGAAAGCAAGAGGAAACGUGUAGGAAGCUGUUUACAUAGUCCUUUUAAUAAUGUUUACAUGAGUUAAUGAACAUGCAAACGUAUCUGAUGAAAACAUGUCAGUAGUGAAACAGCCUUGUGAAGAAUCAGAUCUUACCUCAGGCUGGAAAAAAGGACUGGUUUUCCAAGCUCACAAAUUGCAGCCAGUGUGAAUAGUAGCACAAAUGACUGAGCUUUAAGACAUCCAUCCAUCCAUCUAUCCAUCCCCUCAUCCAUCCAUCCCCUCAUCCAUCCACCCAUCCAUCCAUCCCUUCAUCCAUCACUCCAUCCAGCCAUCCGUCCCUUCAUCAAUCCAUCCAUCCCUUCAUCCAUCCAUCCAUCCUUCCUUCCAUUCAUCCCUUCAUCCAUCCGUCCAUCCAUCCAUCCAUCCACUCAUUCAUCCCUUCAUCCAUCCAUCCAUCCAUCCUUCCUUCCUUCCAUUCAUCCCUUCAUCCAUCCGUCCAUCCAUCCAUCCACCCAUUCAUCCAUCCAUUCCUUCAUCAACUCAUCCCUUCAUCCAUCGUCUACCAUUCAUUCACCCCUUCAUCCAUCCAUUCAUUUAUCCAUCCGUCCAUUUACUUCCAUCCAUCCCUUUAUCCAUCCAUUCACCCAUUCAUCCCUUUAUCCAUAUGUCCAUUCCUCCAUCCAUCCAUCCAUCCAUUUACUCUUCAUCCCUUCAUCCAUUUUUCCAUCCAUUCAUCCAUUCAUCUUUUCAUCCAUCCAUCCAUUGAUCUAUCCAUCCAUCCAUUGCUCCAUCCAACCAUCCAUCCAUCCCUUCGUCCCUUCAUCCAUCCAUCCAUUCAUCCCAUCAUCCAUUGAUCACUUCAUCCAUCCAUCCUUCCAUCCUUCCAUCCAUUCUUCCAUUCAUCCAUCCAUGUGUUCAGCAAGUAUUUACUGAAUGCCUAUUAUGUGCCAAGCACUCUCCUCAGAACUUAGGAAAUACCAGGAAACAAAAUCAACAACAAUCCCUCACCACCUGGAUAUUACAUUUUGGUGGGAAGAGACAAAGAAAUAAAAUUGGUGAGUGAAUCACAUAGGUUAUUAGAAGGUGAUAAAGGUGUAGGUGAUAAAGGAGAAGUGCCAGGAGCAAGGAUUGGGUACAGUUGUGAAUAAGGUGGCCCCAAUAGGUUGCACUGAGAAGGUGACAUUUGCACAGAGACUUGAAGAAAGGAAGGAGAGAACAUGACUGUACCUGGGUAACAGCAUUUGUGGAAGAGGGAACAGCCAGUGUAAAAGUUCCAAGGCAUGAGUGCCUGGUACAUACAUGGAACAUCGAGGCCAGGGUGGCAGAAACGCGGUGAGUCCAGGAAGGGAAUAGGAACUAAGUGUAGGAAGGUGUACAGUGGGGUGGUGUGGGGGUGGAAUUGUGGCAGCCAGAUGGUGUUGGCCUAAGGCCUCUUGGCCCUUGUUAGGACUUGGUUUACCAUGGCGCAACACAUCCAUGAGAUUGGCAAAAAUUAAAAAGUCUGACAACAGAAAAUCUGGUAAUCUGGUGAGGAUGUGGAGCAGUGGGAAUUCUCCAAUACUGCCAGGGAGCAUGGGCAUCAAUCCCACCACACUGGAAUGCAAAGGGGCAUUCUGAGUAGAACUGAAGAUGUGCCCAUCCUUGACCCCACAGUUCCAGCCAUGGGCAUGCGCAUGAAUGUGCACACGUGUUGACUGCGGCAUUUGUUUGUCAUUAUGAAAACAUCUAAGUUUCCAUCUAUGGGAGAGGGGAUAAUGUGGGAGUGCCCAACAGUGGAGUUCUAGAGAGCAGUAAAAAUAAAUGGACUAGAGCUGCACACGUCAAAAUGGAUGAAGAUAAAAGACAUAAGGAUGGAAGAAGACCACCUGGCCACAGAAGUAUAUGUCCAAUAUGAUGCUGGUGUAUCCAGAGUGUUCAAACAAACAACACAACACUACUCAUUGUUUCCAACGUGAGUAUGAAAGUAUGGAGCAGUGCGGAGGGCCAGGAGUGCUGAAUCCACAUGGUUACUUCUCCAGGCGGGGGCCGAGGACCAGGGCUGGAGGUUUACUCCAGGAGCUUCAGUGGUGCAUGCUGAAUGUGCUGUUUCUUGGGCUGGGGGACAGAGAUGUGCAUGCUGUUAUACACUCUAUAUUGAAAUGAUUGUAUAACAAUAUACUAAUUUAUCAUGUAAUAAAUUUGACCAGAAAGAAACAACU
rnacentral:lncRNA from 10 species